rnacentral:rRNA from 1 species
CGGGUGAGUAAUGUAUGGGGAUCUGCCUGAUGGCGGGGGAUAACUACUGGAAACGGUAGCUAAUACCGCAUAAUGCCUACGGACCAAAGCGGGGGACCUCCGGGCCUCGCGCCAUCAGAUGAACCCAUAUGGGAUUAGCUAGUAGGUGAGGUAACGGCUUACCUAGGCGACGAUCCCUAGCUGGUCUGAGAGGAUGAUCAGCCACACUGGGACUGAGACACGGCCCAG